rnacentral:lncRNA from 1 species
UAAAUCUGAUAUUUUCUAUUUUAUAAUAUUCUGUUUUGUUGUUUUGAAACGCCAGUUGUACUCAGCUGAUUUCAUGAACCUCCAGCAGGUCAUGACCAUAGUGUGAAAACACUGGUGUUGAAACCCUAACCAAGAGUGCACAGCCCAGUGUACAGCAGAAUGAGCCUCCUGUCACCAGCCCAGAGCUCUCAGACAGAAUUGAGUUCCUGUACAGUAGGACUUUCCACUCAUGUCUGUGGUCUAGGAGGAGAUUGGGUUGGGCAAACACCAGGCACGAUGGAGCAACCAUUAACCCUGGAGUUGUGAAGACAGGACCACAAGCUGAGAGAGGGCAGCAAUGGAAACCCAGCCAAACUAUUAAUGGAAGGCUGGGUCCCAUUCUUUAUUAUCCUUCUGUGGUCUCGUCACCAGCAGGGUGAGCCAAAGCCGAGGGCAAGAACACGCUGGGUGACCUUCCACACCCCAAAUGCAAGAUCAAGUGCUGUGGAGAAGGAGGCCCAUGGAAGAACUCGCUAGUGGAAACUGUCAACAUUGACUAGCUAUCAUGAGCCAGGACUGAUGGGAUGACGUGAGCAGAGGACACCAUUAUUUUGUGCUUCAUCAAAGUUGCAAGCUUAAUAAGUGACAAAGUGGGGUCCAAAACCCAAUUGCAGCUAGCCUUUUUAUUUAUACUGCUUCUCGGGUGAAGAGUCACUGACUGGUAAUCUCUGGAAAAACAAACAAGCCCCAUUUUACAGAUGAGGAAACAGAUCCCAGGAAGGCUAGGCACCAGGCCCAGGGCCUCAUCUGCUACAGGUUGGCCCCGGGUACAAGCCCAGGCAGUUGGACUCUCGUGUUUUCACCUCACUUCUAGUCAAUUCCACCUGUUUGAUUCACUCAUCGUUUACCAUUGGCCCCCUGUGGCCCCCUGGAGGCAGGAAGUCUCUUUUUGACCAUCUUCCAUGUUCAAAGUCCUACUGGGAAGAGCAAGCCUUUUAUUUGUUGCCUGUGAAGGUCUUGACUGGACUUUAUGGUCAUUUCUGGAUGAUGGUGUGGAGUGGCUUCGGAGGCAGCAGAACUGCAACUUGAUCCCAGACCUUCUGCCACCAAGUCUUGGCAUUUUCUUCAGAGCAUUGGUGUCUGGAAGCUCAGAGAAUCCCUGUGUGAAUGCAGCCGUCCUGGUCACAGGGCAAUAGAGAUGAGCUCCCUCCCUCUCAGCAAAAGUUUCCAAGUGUCACCUUAAGUAAGGCCCCUCCAAUGCUGCUGGCAGGACUGUGAACUGGUACUAUUUUUCCUGAGGACAACUGGGUAACACAUAUCAAACAUUUUAUAGACAGACUUUCCUUUUGACUCUGCAAGUUGAAAUCUAGGGAUGUUUUUUAAAGAAAUAAUUAUAUGUAUAAAAAUAUCUAUAUAUAAGCUGCUGAAAUUCUGGAAACACAAAUACCCACCAGUACUUGAGGGGUUAACUGCUUUAUGGAGCAGCUGUAAAAUGGAAUACUAAGCAGCUAUUAAAAAUAAUGUUUUAGAAGGCCACUUAAUGAUGUGGAACAUGUUCACAGUGUUUUGGAGGAGAAAAAGCAGGAUCACAAUAAAAUAGGCAUAUAUGGCAAUAGAAAAUAAGACCAGAAUAAAAUACACAAAAAAUGUGCAUAGAGCUGAUCUCAAGGUGAGAGAAUUAUGGAUAAUUUUAUUUCUGGCAUUUUGUUUUCUGGUAUCUUCUAAAUGAUAGAUAGAUAGGUAGAUAAAUAGAUAGAUAGAUAGAUAGAUAGAUAGAUAGAUAGAUAGAUAGAUAGAUUAUACCCAAAAAAUGCCAUGUCAACUUUUAAAUGUGUCAAAAGGUCUCUUACUCCCUUGAGGACAGGAAAUAGGUAGAUCAUGCUGGGUUCUCUAUGGUGGGUCUACUUUAUAGCGACUUUAGGAAAGGUAGACUCUAUUUCCCCAAACACACUGGACCCCUUGGGCAUUUGAUGCCUCCCACAUAAAAGACUUAUCCCUCUUUUAAUAGCUAUGUGCAAAGACAGUGUUGGAUACUGUCCGUGACUUUCUGUAAACCCUCUGUAAAGCACAGAGGAACAGAAGUUGUGGGAAGUUGGAGGGAAGUCCUGGCCAUCACCUCCUCCCUGGUACCCCAGUCAGCGACUCUGACAAAGGACACCUGCCUUCUCCUGAACACUCCCAGGGACAGGGAGUCCCCAUUCAUAAUAGAGUAUCUCUUACUGCUGUUCUCCUUGGAUUCACUGGAGCUUCCACCAAGCUGGAAUCUGAGGUUUCUGUCUCCUGGGGCCACACAGUGCACAUCAGCUCCCUUAUACACAUGACAGCCCUUCCAAUGCAGAAUGCAAGUCACUUGUCCUUUCCCAGACAGAUGCACAAAAAUACUGGGGUGCUUUAGUCAUUAUCAGCCAGCGGUGUGGGCUGGCUGACAUAGCUCAACUGGGAAGGGGUCUCCUCCUUGGGAAGUCCUCCAGAUGACCCCAUCAGAUACAAGGCUCCCACUGACUCCCACAGUAGGCUAACUGCCACCAUGCUGCAAGGUGGAGCACUUUCCCAGAACUCUGUGACCUCCUCAAGUAGAAGGACCUUCUCUAAACCUACGUUUUGUAUCCUGUGCCCAACACUGUACUAGGCAUCCAUUCAUUCAUUGGAGUGUGCAACAUGCCCUCACUUAUGGAGGCCUCCACAGAGCUAGGCACUGUGGCAACUUCAAGUAUAUAGUGGUAAAAGAAUCAGCAGAAGCCUUCCUUGGACAGAGCUCAGAGUGUGUGGAAUAAGUCAGAAAAUAGUCAGAUAGAAAGAUAAAAGGAUGGAUGGGUGAGUGGAUGGUUGGAUAGAUGGUUGGAAUGAUGGAUGGAU